rnacentral:rRNA from 3 species
UGGUGACGAUAGCGAAGAGGUCACACCCGUUCCCAUUCCGAACACGGCAGUUAAGCUCUUCAGCGCCGAUGGUAGUUGGGGGUUUCCCCCUGUGAGAGUAGGACGUCGCCA